CGUACAGAUGUGACAAAAAGUUUUUGAAAACUCGGAUCGUGUGAUCAAGUUGACAACAAUAGCUCUUUUUUGAAUGAAUUAAUUGUUUUUUUUUCUAUAUGAUCACUUCAUGAGCUACAAAUUAACUGCACAUUAUAAAAUCAUUUGAACAAUAUCGUCCAGAGUUUGCCGGUAUAAAUAUCCGUCCUAGCCUGUGAAACCUUCAGUGAACAGGCGUGUCACUUACACCACAAUUGACGACAAUCCAAUCAUGAUCAUCGCUCGAGGUAAGACCCACAUCAAGUGAAUCCUUCUUUUAUUUUAAUUCCAUUGCACCUUUAUUUGUCAGUGGUUCUUUCAAUGCUGAUGAUGUGGCUCCAACUUGGGAUGCACUUGUGUGAAGGACAGUGUGCUGUUGGCGAGUAUUAUUGCUCACUCCCUAUCGUUAAUAUGACCACCGACGGAGGAGCCAAACUACGGAAGGCAUUUGAAGCAGCAAAACAAGUGAGCAUCGGGAAGAUGAUCGUGUCCAUCAGUCCUUCGGGACCAUUUCUGCAAAGGUUCACUAGCUUUGUAGACUUAGUUUGGUUUGGUAGUUACCGAGAAGCGGCCUUCCAAGUACCGGACGGUAACACCAUCAGUGAAAUUAUCAUUGGGUAUGCUCCAGGGAUGCGUGCUUUUAUAGCUGGAUCAAACACCCAUCUUGAGUCCUUAGACAUUUCAAAAUGUUCAUUGGAUCGUGUGCCGCAGACCCUUCCUAAGAUGACCAAGUUGAAAUUUCUUUCAAUAACCCAAUGCAAAAUAACGGUACUCCGGUUGGAUAUGUUGGCAGACAAUCAGUAUCUGAAAAACCUGGAUCUGUCCUACAAUCAAAUACAGCAACUGCUCCCAGUCACUGGACGACCCACAAGGAUGUUAAGUAUUGAAACACUGACACUUACAGGCAAUCUACUACAAAAUCUUGAUUUGGCUUUAUUCGUAGCCAUGCCACAAUUAUUGAAUCUCAAUGUUUUGAAGAAUUUGAUUGUUAGUUUGGAUGUGUCAGCACCCAUCGCGCUUCCAAAUCUUUCCGGCUUGUACCUCGGAUACAACAAGCUCGUAUCACUUGACCUAAGAAACUUGACCCUUCCUAAACUCGAAACAUUCUCGUUCGGCCCCAACGCUCUCACACGGAUGCCGAUUCUUCCAAAACCACUGCCUAAACUUAACUACCUAUCACUCUCUGCAAACAAUCUGACCCAGCUAGACAUGAGUUAUUUCCGACCAUACCCAAACCUGCAAAAAAUAUUGUUAUCUUCGAAUCAAAUCACCACUGUGCGAGCUUCCUCUCCUGUGCGACUACCGGUCGAUUAUCUUGAAUUGAGUAAUAACAAAAUCACUACGUUCAACAUCACCGGAUGGGACAUGCCUAACAUAACAUUGCUGAACCUUGAUGGUAAUCAGCUUUCGGUGGUUCCUUCUGUUUUUGAGCGAUAUCCAAAAGUUUACCUGUUUAUGAAUCGGAACCCAGUUUUGUGCGACGCUCUGCUGCCUUUUAAGGAUAGGCUAAAGAAUUAUCAACUCCAGAAAGAUCCGUGGCCUUUGUCAAAGGCAUGUACGACCAUAUCAUCAUUUACAGUUGAUGAAACAAUGAAGAUUUGCUGUGACCAGUGAAAUAAUAUUUGACGUAUAAUGCAGCAAAUUUUAGUUUGGAAAACAAAGGAUAAGCAAGCAAGUAACCAUGAUGUGCGAAAUCUUUCUUAUACUGAAUGUCGUGCUGGAAAAUAAAGUAUGACAAACAUAUUCACCGUAUUCUGUCGGACAAGUACACCACUGCGCUAUACGCACGUGAGAAAGACUCUACAGUUCUACAAUGGUUAUAUCAUGCUCACAAGUAGGAGAAAACUCCUCGAUUUCCCUCAAAUACAUUGCGCCAUUUCCACUUAUCCUAUUGUAUAGAGCGCUGUGCUAAACGUUCCCCACUUUUUGGUAUUUUAGUAACGCAAUUUCCAUUUUGUCCCAUGCAGAUGGUACCUUCAUCCUGCAUCUCAUGCCCGAGUAUGCCCAAAGCAUGCCGAAAACAUACUGCAACAUGCUAAAUUUCAUUCCAACGUGAAAGUAAAUGACACACUAGAAUCAAAGUACACGAUUGAUCUUUAGUGACAUUAUAACAAACAACGACUGCGUUGCCAUUCCAUUGCUAAUGUCUGUUACGUACGCUUUUGACACAUCGGUUAAAUUCAUUCAACGUUUUGUCACAUCGGUUAAACACAUGAUUGUUGGUAUGAUUUUCUAUACUUUAUGUCUGCCUAAUCGAUUUAUAAGCUAUACGUUAACUUCUCAUUAUAAAAUCAUUUGGAAAAGAUCGUCCAGAGUUUGCAGGUAUAAAUAUCCACUCAAACAUGCAUAACGUUCAUUGAAAAGUCGUGACACCUACGUAACAUUGACAACAAACCAUGAUCACCGCUCGCGUGAUCUGCUGGUUCGUGUUAACGUGGCACCUACUCGGGAUGCACUUGUGUGACGAACUGUGUGUUGGCGGCGUUAGGUUUGAUGGUUGUUCCAUCCCUAUCGUUAAUAUGACCACGGACGGAGGAGCCAAAGUACGGAAGGCAUUUGAAGUAGCAAAGGAAGUGACCAUCGGGAAGAUGAUCGUGUCCAUCAGUCCUUCGGGUCCGUUUCUGCAAAGGUUCGCUAGCUUUGUAGACUUAGUGAUAUAUGAUAUCUACCGUGAAGCUACCUUCUAUGUACCGGACGGUAACACCAUCGGUGGAAUUACCAUUUGGAAUGCUCCAGACAUGCGAGCUUUUAUAGCUGGAUCAAACACCUAUCUUGAGUCCUUGGACAUUUCACAAUGUUCAUUGGAUCGAUUACCUCAAACUCUUCCUUUGAUGACCCGAUUGCAAAGGGUUUCCUUAACAUGGUGCAAGUUAACGGUACUCCGACUGGAUAAUUUGACAGCGAAUCAGAAUCUGAAAAUCCUGAUCCUGUCCUACAAUCAAAUAGAACUAUUGAUUCCAGUCUCCCGGCAAUCCGCGAGGAUGCUUAGUAUUGAAACACUGUUUCUUGCAGGUAAUCUACUGGAGCGUCUUGAUAUGGCUUUAUUCGUAGCCAUGCCGCUACUAUCAGAGCUUUACAUUACCGGUAAUCGUAUUGUUACCUUGGAUGUGUCAGCACCCAUCGUUCUGCCAAAUUUUUCCAGCUUGUACCUCGGAUACAACAAGAUCGUAUCACUCGACCUAAGAAACUUGACCCUUCCUAAACUCGAAACAUUCUCGUUUGGCCCCAACGCUCUCACACGGAUGCCGAUCCUGCCAAGACUAAUGCCAAAAUUUAACUACCUAUCACUCUCCGCAAACAAUCUGACCCAGCUAUACAUGAGUUAUUUCCGACCGUAUCCGAACCUGCAAAAAAUCUAUAUAACUUCGAAUCAAAUCACCACUGUGCGAGCUUCCUCUCCUGUGCGAUUACCGCUCGUUCAUCUCGUAUUAAGUAAUAACAAAAUCACCACGUUCAACAUCACCGGAUGGGACAUGCUUAACAUAACAAUGGUGCUCCUUGAUGGUAAUCAGCUUUCGGUGGUUCCUCCUGUUUUUGACCGCUAUCCAAAAGUUAAUCUAUAUAUGGAUCGUAACCCACUCUCAUGCGACGCACUGGUGCCGUUUAAGGAUCGGCUAAAGAAUGAGCAACUCCAGAAGGAACAGAAGUAUUCGUAUUCAAAAUGUACUACGACAUCAUCGAUACAGGUGGAUGAAACAAAAAAGGUUUGCUGUGACAAGUGAAGUUUAAUGAGCAUACUACCCUGCUAGUGAUCAGCACAUCAACAACCAUUAAGCACUAGCAGAAAGAAAAGAGCAAGAAGCAAUAAAUGGUAUAUAAUACGAAAAUUAGGUGCAAAUUUGGUGACAAUAGGAGACAGUUUAAUGAUCAUAUUAAUAUACAAUUGGACACGGA